rnacentral:rRNA from 1 species
UACGGAGGGUGCGAGCGUUGUCCGGAAUCACUGGGCGUAAAGGGCGCGUAGGUGGCUUGGCAAGCGUGUGGUGAAAGCCCGGGGCUCAACCCCGGGUCUGCCGUGCGAACUGCUAUGGCUUGAGCACUGUAGAGGCAGGUAGAAUUCCGGGUGUAGCGGUGGAAUGCGUAGAGAUCCGGAGGAACACCGGUGGCGAAGGCGGCAUCCUGGACCGGUAUUGACGCUGAGGCGCGAAAGCCAGGGGAGCAAACGGG